UGUUCUUAACCAAUCAAAUUGUUCUUUCUAAAGUUCACCUAUUCCACCAUAAUUUUUUAAAAAUAAUUUUAUUAUAUUUUUUAAAAAAAUGUAUAAUUGACUAAACAUAAAUAGGAGUAAUUGUUUAUAUACUUUGAAAAGUUUUCAACUUUCUGAUUUACUUUUCUUAGAAGGCUAAUAUUAAAAAUACCUUUUUAACGUUCCAACCUAUUUCAAAUAUACGCUUAGAGUUAAAUUCUUUUUAUAAACUGUUAGUAAUAGCUGUUAUCUAUAUAAAAUUACUAUUUUACUCUUUCAAAUAUACUCUUCUAUCAUCACCGACUUUUCUUAUUUGUCCUUAAGUUAGGAACACAAAAAAUAUUUUGAUUUUUUAUCUUUUCAAAUAUAUCCUUUUAUCAUCAUCAAUAUUUUUUAUUUGUCUUUAAAUUAAGGUCAAAAGAGACAUUUUAAUUUUUUAAAUUUUGAUAGAUAUUUAACUUACGUUUAAUCUAAAAAACCUAACUGGUGUAACUAUAAAGAUAUUUUGGAAUAACGGAGAAACAUACGAAGAAUAUAUUAGAAAGAAAAAUAAAAUAAAAUAUUUUUAAAGUUUUUGAAAGGUAUAUAGAUGAUUAUCUCUAAAUAAUAUGAUGAACCUAGAACAUAGCAUACGUCAUCGUUUAGGAUCCUAUGUGAUUCAGAGAACCUACAUGUUNCUAAAAAUAAUUUAAUUAUGUUUUUUAAAAAAUGUAUAAUUGACUAAACAUAAAUAAUAGGAGUAAUUGUUUAUAUACUUUGAAAAGUUUUCAAAUUUCUGAUUUAUUUUUCUUAGAAGGUUAAUAUUAAAAAUACUUUUUUUUACGUUCCAACCUAUUUCAAAUAUAUGCUUAGAGUUAAAUUCUUUUAAUAAACUGUUAGCAAUAGCCGUUAUCUAUAUAAAUUUACUAUUUUACUAUUUCAAAUAUACUCUUCUACCAUCACCUACUUUUCUUAUUUGUCCUUGAGUUAGGAACACAAAAAAUAUUUUGAUUUUUUAUCUUCUUAAAUAUAUUCUUUUACCAUCACCAAUAUUUUUUAUUUGUCUUUAAAUUAAGGUCAAAAGAGACAUUUUAAUUUUUUAAAUUUUGAUAGAUAUUUAACUUACGUUUAACCUAAAAAAUCUAACUGGUGUAACUAUAAGGAUAUUUUGGAAUAACGGAAAAACAUACGAAGAAUAUAUUAGAAAGAAAAAAAAUAAAAUAAAGUAUUUUUAAAGUUUUAAAAGGUAAAUAGAUA
rnacentral:lncRNA from 1 species